GCAAGCUAUUCAUUCUGUCACUGGAGAAACAGAUUCUCAGUUGCUUCCUAUAUCAAAGGUCAAACUCCCUUCUGGGUUGUCGUCAAUGUUGUGGUUUCUAGCCUGAAGGAUGCCUCGAGCUCCCAGUUUUUGGCAAAGCCAAGGCCUUCCUAUUCCCUGAGAUAUAACAAUAUUGAAAUUAGGCCAGUUAAUAACCCUUACAAUGGCCUCUAUGUGUUCAGAUGAAAGGAAGAGUCAUUUGAUGAGGCAACCUUCAUUGUUGUCUUGUUUUAAGAAAUUGCCACAGUCACCCCAACCUUCAGCAACCACCAUCCUGAUCAGUCAGCAGCCAUCAACAUCGAGGCAUGACCGUCUACAGCAAAAAGAUUACCACUCACUGAAGGCUCACUGAAGGCCUGGUUUUUAUAUUUGUGCCAAACUUCUUGAAGCUAGAAAUUGGACCUUGGCAGAGAAGCUGAAGCUGGAUGGCUACAUCAACACUGAUGUCAUCACUGCCCAGAGCUGAGACUUCCAUACAAGUACCCUGCCACCCAUACCCAGGAACUUCCGCCCAGUUUUGCAUUUCCCAGUGCCUGCUCCCAUGCUUUCUGAGUCUUUAGAGCUGGGUUUCUUAACCCUUUCUGUGUCAUGAAUCCCUUUUGAAGUUUGAUGAAGUUUUGUACCCCUUCUCUGAAUAAUGUUUUUGAAUGUAAAAUGUAAUAUAAAA